AACGCACCUUGCGCUCCUUGGUAUUCCGAGGAGCAUGCCUGUUUGAGUGUCAUUAAAUUCUCAAAAAACCUUUGGUAGUAAUAUCAAAGGCUUUCUUGGAUGUGAGGGUUUUACUGUUGGCGAAAGUCAACUCCCUUGAAAUGAAUUAGCUUGGUUGAUUGGACUUUGUCUAUUGGUGUGAUAAUUAUCUACGCCAUUGGAUUGUCUGCUUAUCAAACUGCUUCUAAUUGUCCCUUUGGGACUAAUAAAUGACCAUUUGACCUCAAAUCAGGUAGGACUACCCGCUGAACUUAA
rnacentral:misc_RNA from 1 species